rnacentral:rRNA from 1 species
GGGUUGUGAGGUUAAGCGACUAAGCGUACACGGUGGAUGCCCUGGCAGUCAGAGGCGAUGAAGGGCGUGCUAAUCUGCGAUAAGCGCCGGUAAGGUGAUAUGAACCGUUAUAACCGGCGAUACCCGAAUGGGGAAACCCAGUGUGAUUCGUCACACUAUCAUUAACUGAAUCCAUAGGUUAAUGAGGCGAACCGGGGGAACUGAAACAUCUAAGUACCCCGAGGAAAAGAAAUCAACCGAGAUUCCCCCAGUAGCGGCGAGCGAACGGGGAGGAGCCCAGAGCCUGAAUCAGCAUGUGUGUUAGUGGAAGCGUCUGGAAAGGCGCGCGAUACAGGGUGACAGCCCCGUACACAAAAGCGCAUGUGCUGUGAGCUCGAUGAGUAGGGCGGGACACGUGGUAUCCUGUCUGAAUAUGGGGGGACCAUCCUCCAAGGCUAAAUACUCCUGACUGACCGAUAGUGAACCAGUACCGUGAGGGAAAGGCGAAAAGAACCCCGGCGAGGGGAGUGAAAAAGAACCUGAAACCGUGUACGUACAAGCAGUGGGAGCACCCUUCGGGGUGUGACUGCGUACCUUUUGUAUAAUGGGUCAGCGACUUAUAUUCUGUAGCAAGGUUAACCGUAUAGGGGAGCCGCAGGGAAACCGAGUCUUAAUUGGGCGUUAAGUUGCAGGGUAUAGACCCGAAACCCGGUGAUCUAGCCAUGGGCAGGUUGAAGGUUGGGUAACACUAACUGGAGGACCGAACCGACUAAUGUUGAAAAAUUAGCGGAUGACCUGUGGCUGGGGGUGAAAGGCCAAUCAAACCGGGAGAUAGCUGGUUCUCCCCGAAAGCUAUUUAGGUAGCGCCUCGUGAAUUCAUCUCCGGGGGUAGAGCACUGUUUCGGCUAGGGGGCCAUCCCGGCUUACCAACCCGAUGCAAACUGCGAAUACCGGAGAAUGUUAUCACGGGAGACACACGGCGGGUGCUAACGUCCGUCGUGAAGAGGGAAACAACCCAGACCGCCAGCUAAGGUCCCAAAGUCAUGGUUAAGUGGGAAACGAUGUGGGAAGGCCCAGACAGCCAGGAUGUUGGCUUAGAAGCAGCCAUCAUUUAAAGAAAGCGUAAUAGCUCACUGGUCGAGUCGGCCUGCGCGGAAGAUGUAACGGGGCUAAACCAUGCACCGAAGCUGCGGCAGCGACACUGUGUGUUGUUGGGUAGGGGAGCGUUCUGUAAGCCUGUGAAGGUGUGUCGUGAGGCAUGCUGGAGGUAUCAGAAGUGCGAAUGCUGACAUAAGUAACGAUAAAGCGGGUGAAAAGCCCGCUCGCCGGAAGACCAAGGGUUCCUGUCCAACGUUAAUCGGGGCAGGGUGAGUCGACCCCUAAGGCGAGGCCGAAAGGCGUAGUCGAUGGGAAACGGGUUAAUAUUCCCGUACUUGGUGUUACUGCGAAGGGGGGACGGAGAAGGCUAUGUUGGCCGGGCGACGGUUGUCCCGGUUUAAGCGUGUAGGUGUGUGUUCCAGGUAAAUCCGGUUCACUUUAACACUGAGGCGUGAUGACGAGGCACUACGGUGCUGAAGCAACAAAUGCCCUGCUUCCAGGAAAAGCCUCUAAGCAUCAGGUAACAUCAAAUCGUACCCCAAACCGACACAGGUGGUCAGGUAGAGAAUACCAAGGCGCUUGAGAGAACUCGGGUGAAGGAACUAGGCAAAAUGGUGCCGUAACUUCGGGAGAAGGCACGCUGACAUGUAGGUGAAGUGAUUUACUCAUGGAGCUGAAGUCAGUCGAAGAUACCAGCUGGCUGCAACUGUUUAUUAAAAACACAGCACUGUGCAAACACGAAAGUGGACGUAUACGGUGUGACGCCUGCCCGGUGCCGGAAGGUUAAUUGAUGGGGUCAGCGCAAGCGAAGCUCCUGAUCGAAGCCCCGGUAAACGGCGGCCGUAACUAUAACGGUCCUAAGGUAGCGAAAUUCCUUGUCGGGUAAGUUCCGACCUGCACGAAUGGCGUAAUGAUGGCCAGGCUGUCUCCACCCGAGACUCAGUGAAAUUGAACUCGCUGUGAAGAUGCAGUGUACCCGCGGCAAGACGGAAAGACCCCGUGAACCUUUACUAUAGCUUGACACUGAACAUUGAGCCUUGAUGUGUAGGAUAGGUGGGAGGCUUUGAAGUGUGGACGCCAGUCUGCAUGGAGCCGACCUUGAAAUACCACCCUUUAAUGUUUGAUGUUCUAACGUGGACCCGUGAUCCGGGUUGCGGACAGUGUCUGGUGGGUAGUUUGACUGGGGCGGUCUCCUCCUAAAGAGUAACGGAGGAGCACGAAGGUUGGCUAAUCCUGGUCGGACAUCAGGAGGUUAGUGCAAUGGCAUAAGCCAGCUUGACUGCGAGCGUGACGGCGCGAGCAGGUGCGAAAGCAGGUCAUAGUGAUCCGGUGGUUCUGAAUGGAAGGGCCAUCGCUCAACGGAUAAAAGGUACUCCGGGGAUAACAGGCUGAUACCGCCCAAGAGUUCAUAUCGACGGCGGUGUUUGGCACCUCGAUGUCGGCUCAUCACAUCCUGGGGCUGAAGUAGGUCCCAAGGGUAUGGCUGUUCGCCAUUUAAAGUGGUACGCGAGCUGGGUUUAGAACGUCGUGAGACAGUUCGGUCCCUAUCUGCCGUGGGCGCUGGAGAACUGAGGGGGGCUGCUCCUAGUACGAGAGGACCGGAGUGGACGCAUCACUGGUGUUCGGGUUGUCAUGCCAAUGGCACUGCCCGGUAGCUAAAUGCGGAAGAGAUAAGUGCUGAAAGCAUCUAAGCACGAAACUUGCCCCGA